AUCCCUCCCACCUCCCCUCCCCUCACGGCCACCCACCCCUUCCCUCGCUCUCCUCCCUCCCUCCCACGACAAAAUCCAGCCUGCUCCAAGAUCCCCACGCUCUACUCCUCCCUCCCUCCCUCCCCUCCGGCAAGAUCCAGCGCGCAGCCUCCCUCUCCUCGGUCCAGAUCGACAGGUCCACCACCUACACUUCCGACGAUCCCCAAUCCGGCGACAGAGAUGGCAGCUCAUGCGCCGGCCAUCUUCCUCGCCCUAGAUGCCGCUGCUCGUCUCCUCUCCGGUGAGAGCGGAGGAGCCACCGCGGUCGAGGCAGCCGCCGUCUGGAGCCCUGCCUCUUCUCCUCUCCAGUCGUCGUGGAGGACCGCCGUGUCCAACCUCCUCGAUGGUGCUGGAACCCUAGGUGGACCAUCUCUUCCUCCCAUGGCCAUGGCCAUGUCGAGCCCGCAAGAUGUGCAGUAGCAAAUCUUCGAGUACAACGGGUCCGCACCCUGCAGCCGCCGGUCCGGGACAAGCGCAGCGCCGGUUCGGGUGUCCUGCACCAAACAGAGCACGCCCCAGGUGCUCGACGGAAUGUCUGCUGCACCGCUUUCUCUCAACUUUGUUGCCCUUUGCCAAGCUGAGGGAGAGGGCUAGGCAGGUGCUUUGCUCUUGCACAUGGUGUGUGUCUCCGGCACAGCGGUGCUUCUUGAGGCGACCGGUGGGACGGCGGUUGUGUAUGUCGGCGACAACAAGCUCUCUGGGAGCUCCGCAUCUGAGUCUCGGCCAUGCUCCACAGCAAGGAGCUGGGCCAGGGGAGAAAGCAGCGAUGUUGGUUCCUUGAGGCCGGAUCAAGAAUUUUCCUAUGUUUUGUGUUCUUCAUGUGAUUUGAUUUUUAGAAGUUGGAAGAAGAGGACGAUGAAGCAUGGUGUUUUCUAUUAAUCUACCUCUUGUUCUGGUUGUACUCUGUAGCUAGUUAUAUUGUAAUCGGUAGUAGUCAGUAGAUCUAUUUCUAUGAAUACUAUGUAAAACUGUAAUAGGCUAAUUUUGCAUAUCAUUUCAAGAAUUUAGUUUUGUUCCAUUUGAAAUAUUUGUUUUUUGUGUACUGUGAAAGCUUGAGAAGUAAAAAGUUGGCAAGUUGGACCAACUUAAUGAAAAA